AACGAACGCUGGCGGCAUGCCUAACACAUGCAAGUCGAACGAGACCUUCGGGUCUAGUGGCGCACGGGUGCGUAACGCGUGGGAACCUGCCCUUAGGUUCGGAAUAACUCCCCGAAAGGGGUGCUAAUACCGGAUAAUGUCUUCGGACCAAAGAUUUAUCGCCUUUGGAUGGGCCCGCGUUGGAUUAGCUAGUUGGUAGGGUAAAAGCCUACCAAGGCGACGAUCCAUAGCUGGUCUGAGAGGAUGAUCAGCCACACUGGGACUGAGACACGGCCCAGACUCCUACGGGAGGCAGCAGGGGGGAAUAUUGGGAAAUGGGCGAAAGGCUGAUCCAGCAAUGCCGGGGGAGUGAGGAAGGGCUUAGGGUUGUAAAGCUCUUUUACCCGGGAUGAUAAUGACAGUACCGGGAGAAUAAGCCCCGGCUAACUCCGUG
rnacentral:rRNA from 1 species